GCGGGAGCGGGCGGAGGAAGUGACACCUGACUCUACCUCCUCUCCCUCCCAUCCCCGUCCCUGGUCUCUCCCAAAGAAGUAGGUUCUUAGCCUGUGAUACAAAGGACCCCUUUGGCGGCCAGCUGGAGCCUGUGCGCUUUUCUUCAAAUAAUGGCUUUUAAAGCUCAAGACUAGAAAGUUUAGGAUUACAAAGAAAAACGGUUCUUUUCACAUACGGUUAUCCUUGUGAUGUAGCAUUUCGCUUGACAUUUGGAAGUCGUUCAAUAUCAGAGAGAAACCGUAUCUAUGAAACUAGAGAGGCUGCUCAGAUGACUGCAAACCAGCCAUCCUUACUUGUUUUAUCACUAGGAGUAUUAUAAAGACGGUCGUCCAGUUUCUUGAAUCUUGUAGGGUUUUUUUCAGAUACAGCAAUGUACAAAAAUGUGCUGCCCCAGCAGAGCACACUGGACAUUCAGGCAUGGUGCUGGAGUUUGUCGUCUCUUCACUGCCUUCUCUAGACCUUAGCGCUUACCUCAUGUUAACACUUUAUAUGCUGCGAAGACAGAAACACAGUCAUCCAAAUUUGGCAAAAAUAUUUGGGAGAAAUUUUAUUUCAGGUGUUUAACUGAUUACUUUUAAUAUGUAGACUACAACACCAAACUCUGAGAAUACUCCACAGACUUAUUAAUGGUUUCCACCCCCGUCUCUGCAAAUCUAUCAGGUGGCCACAGAGUGCAUGUGCUAUGAGGGACCCGUCCGACAUAUACCCUCCCAGAAGAGCAGGAAAGGGGGUUCAUAAAGAUGUUCUUCUGAUGGGGAGUGUCCUAUAAGGCCACCUUCACAUGGACAAACUGGAAACACAGGUUAUAUCACCAAGGCUUUGACUGAAACAUCAUGUUUUCAGAUAUGACCAGAAGGCUUUAGGGGACUAAGGUUGGCUUUAUGGAACCAAUAAAGUACCAUCUUGGAAAAACUGGCUCUAGGGUUCCCAGACUUACAGGCACUGUACGUGGCACUGAGAAUGCAAAGCAAAACGAUUCAUGGUCUACUGGCGGGAGCCUUCUCAGCGGAGAAAAGAUCAACAAGAAAAGUGCCUGCUGGAGACCUCUCCUAGGGCAUAAACCAAUAUAGAGGUGGGGCAGCUACGUCAGCCUGAGGUGUCCUUAGGCAGAACAGAAAGUGAGAAUCAGAGCAGUAUCUCAUUUCUGAACACCUGGAUUGUAGCUUUCCCUGGACUGACUGUCAAAGGAGGUGGUUUUAAAAAGCAAGCCAAACAGGUUUCCAUCCUUUAGGAAGACCCUGGAACGUGCCAGUUGAUUCUGACAAUUUCUCAUGGACAGAAAUACCUAGGAAGGGAGAACUGGGAUUUAUUUAAUGGGGAUGUGUUCAAGGCAAGACCGAAUUCAGAAGGAUAUCGACGUCGUGAUCCAGAAGUCCAGAGCUGAGGACUGCCUGUUUGCAGAUUAGCAAUAAACUCCUUAAAACCCAAAGGUUUGGGCUUCUGUUCCUUUCACUUGCAGUCAGACAUGGAGUUAGUGGUAGAAGAAACAGAAGGGGUAACCUGCAUGGUGACAGCUACUGAGGGGAUGGAUAGGAAAGCAGGCUGAGUCCCUGGGGCCAGUGGUUACCAAAGCCAAGGAGAGAGCAAGGGGAGCCCAGUGGGCCUGGCCAUGGACUGCUCUGGAAUUCCGAGUGUGAACUUUCAGCCAAGAAGCUUUAAAUCAUCUAGGAACUUCAUAUAAAAUUUAAUUCCAGUUUCAACUAGUUGUGGAGCAUUUGAUCCAAAAUAAAAUGAAAGUCCUCUCUGAAGCUGUAGAGGAGACUCAAGAAUCAGAACAACCUGAAGUUCUUUAAGCUGUCAGUUGAAGGACUAGGUAAAAAACAAAUAUCAUUUAGUGUGAUCAUUAAUGCACAUGAGUCAUUAUUCCAUGUGGUUGCUGUCGACUGGUCAGGGGCACUUCAAGCAGGUCUCAGCUGAGACCUGUCCAAAUUACUGACCCACAAAAUCAUAAGAUACAAUAAAAUGGUUGUUUUGAG
rnacentral:lncRNA from 1 species